AAGCGCCUAUUUUUUUUAUCGCAAAACAAACACGCCUCUCUCUUUCUCUCUCUCUCUCUCUCUCUCUCUCACCUACCUUCCAUGACCAGAACUUCUCACACUCAGAAAUGGCACUGUCUUCUCAUCUUCUUCAAUUUCCAGUCCACACUUCGUCUCCAGGACCUGAUUAUCUCCUCUUCUAUCCCUCUCCAUGCCAAUCGUCUUCUCCAAUUUCCAUCCGGAAGGCUAUGAUUCCGCUAGUUCCAAUCGCGCUCAAUGUAUCUGCCAGAGUUAGGUGCUUGACGAAGUCGUCUGCUGAAGAGGAUCGCUGGAGUGAAUCGGAGACUUUGGUGUCUGAUGGCGAUGAUGGUGGAGAAGCAACGAGAGAGGACGCGAAAGUCCAACAACGCCGGCGAGAGAGAAUUGCCACUUCGUAUGGUGAUUCUCUUACGCUUGGGAUUCGCGAGCCGAUUUAUGAGGUUGUAGAAGUGAAGUCAAAUGGGAUGGUAUCUACAAGGAAAAUAAACAGACGCCAAUUAUUAAAGUCAAGUGGUCUUCGCCCAAGAGAUAUCCGGAGUGUUGAUCCGUCAUUGUUUUUGACAAAUUCAAUGCCUUCUUUAGUGGUUCGUGAGCAUGCUAUAUUGCUAAAUCUGGGCUCGUUACGAGCAAUAGCGAUGCAAGAGCGUGUCCUUAUAUUUGACUAUAACUGUAAAGGAGGGAAAGCUUUUAUAGAUACAUUGUUACCUCGAUUAAAUCCCAGAAAUAUCAAUGGAGGGCCAUGCAUGCCAUUUGAGCUUGAGGUUGUUGAAGCAGCAUUGCUUUCACGAGUACAGCGAUUGGAGCAGAGACUUAUGACUAUUGAACCUCGUGUUCAAGCUCUUCUUGAAGUUUUACCCAACAAGUUAACUGCUGACAUAUUAGAGGAACUCCGUAUUAGCAAGCAAACAUUGGUUGAAUUAGGUUCAAGGGCAGGAGCUCUUAGACAAAUGUUGCUUGAUCUUUUGGAGGACCCACAUGAAAUACGUCGUAUAUGUAUAAUGGGAAGAAACUGCACUCUUGUAAAGGGAAAUAAUAGUGUGGAAUGCUCUGUUCCCUUAGAAAAGCAAAUUGCUGAGGAAGAAGAGGAAGAAAUUGAGAUGCUUUUGGAAAAUUAUCUUCAAAGGUGUGAAUCUUGUCAUGGUCAGGCAGAACGACUUCUUGAUUCUGCAAAAGAAAUGGAAGAUUCUAUUGCUGUUAAUUUAAGCUCUCGGAGGCUUGAAGUAAGUAGAGUGGAAUUACUUCUCCAAGUUGGGACAUUUUGUGUGGCAGUCGGUGCUCUAGUUGCAGGUAUAUUUGGCAUGAACUUGAAGUCCUAUCUUGAAGAGCACAUGUUUGCCUUUUGGCUGACAACAGCUGGGAUAAUUGUUGGUGCUGUUGUGGCAUUUUUUAUGAUGUACUCGUAUCUCAGAUCUAGGAAAAUACUGUAACUUAGCAACUAUUUGAGUUAGAAUACUAGUCAUGGCCAUUGGGGGGGUUUUGCCUGGCUUCCCACUGCAGGUAGACACUGCCAUCAGGAUCUAUCACUUGCAGCCAGCCAUUAACUCCACAUUGCGCAGGGAACAUUGGACAAUAGACAUGUUCCCAUCACUUGCAUGCAGUUGAACAGGAGGCAUGGAAGGUUCAAGCAGACGAGGGCCAGCAGUAAUCCAUGGGUGACUGAGGCAUUGAGCCGCUGUUGGCCUCUUUUCAGGCACAAAAUCAAGUAGGGGAAUAAGGAAGUCGGCCAUGUCAUUUGCCUCCUGCUCAUUGAAAUCAUACUUCUCCAUAAGCACCUUACUAACAGGCCAGAAACGCAACCGACGGAUGUGCCUCAGAUCGCCAUAUCUAUUGAAGAAAUCCCGAGAAUAGCGACCACCUAAUGCAAUCUGAGAAAUUAUUGGCAGAGUCAAUGGUUUGAGCAACUCUGUAAACCCAAGUACUGUACAUAAGCAGUUAAUGUUUUCAAACAGUCUUUGUGAAAUGAAGGUUUUAAGAUCAUAACAAAA